rnacentral:rRNA from 1 species
UUAAUUGAAGAGUUUGAUCAUGGCUCAGAUUGAACGCUGGCGGCAGGCCUAACACAUGCAAGUCGAGCGGCAGCACAGAGGAACUUGUUCCUUGGGUGGCGAGCGGCGGACGGGUGAGUAAUGCCUGGGAAAUUGCCCGGUAGAGGGGGAUAACCAUU